rnacentral:lncRNA from 1 species
AUACCUCGAAAGGCGGUGUGGCAUACUUGUGGGUGGAACAAGAAGUUGGGGAUUGAGUUCGAAAAUUCUCUCUUAACCUAGACUGAAAGGCAACUGUACUUGUGCAUCUUAAAAGUCUCGCAUCGCUUGGGAGCAAAGGCCAAUGAUAGUUUAUAUACAACAUCCACAAUCCUCAAAUCAAUUAAACACCUUUUAUGAAGAAUCAAACUAUGAAGGGCUUAUACUUAAAGAACAAUGCCUCGAAACGUGGUGUGUGUAUUUGAGGAUGGAACAUAACACAACCCCUGGUUGUUACCACUUAUAUUCCUCUUCUUUUAGAUCAAUUUAUGAGAGGUGGCUUAGAGUCAAUAAUUACUUGAAAUCACCUCUUCAAAUUGAUUAUUUUGACUUCCUUUAACUAAAUAAGUGAUUUCGACACAUUUUUAGUUUUCUUUUGUAUGUUUUUUUGAUUUCG